rnacentral:rRNA from 1 species
GACGAACGCUGGCGGCGUGCUUAACACAUGCAAGUCGAGCGGUAAGGCCCUUUCGGGGGUACACGAGCGGCGAACGGGUGAGUAACACGUGGGUGACCUGCCCUCAGCUCUGGGAUAAGCCUGGGAAACCGGGUCUAAUACUGGAUAUGACUCCAUGACGCAUGUUGUGGGGUGGAAAGCCUUGUGCGGCUGAGGAUGGGCCCGCGGCCUAUCCAGCUUGUUGGUGGGGUGAGGCCUACCAAGGCGACGACGGGUAGCCGGCCUGGGAGGCGACCGGCCACACUGGGACUGAGACACGGCCCAGACUCCUACGGGAGGCAGCA